GAUGAACGCUGACGGCGUGCCUAAUACAUGCAAGUCGAGCGAACGGACGAGAAGCUUGCUUCUCUGAUGUUAGCGGCGGACGGGUGAGUAACACGUGGAUAACCUACCUAUAAGACUGGGAUAACUUCGGGAAACCGGAGCUAAUACCGGAUAAUAUUUUGAACCGCAUGGUUCAAAAGUGAAAGACGGUCUUGCUGUCACUUAUAGAUGGAUCCGCGCUGCAUUAGCUAGUUGGUUAGGUAACGGCUUACCAAGGCAACGAUGCAUAGCCGACCUGAGAGGGUGAUCGGCCACACUGGAACUGAGACACGGUCCAGACUCCUACGGGAGGCAGCAGUAGGGAAUCUUCCGCAAUGGGCGAAAGCCUGACGGAGCAACGCCGCGUGAGUGAUGAAGGUCUUCGGAUCGUAAAACUCUGUUAUUAGGGAAGAACAUAUGUGUAAGUAACUGUGCACAUCUUGACGGUACCUAAUCAGAAAGCCACGGCUAACUACGUG
rnacentral:rRNA from 1 species